AUACGUAGGUGGCGAGCGUUGUCCGGAUUUACUGGGCGUAAAGGAUGCGUAGGUGGAUAUUUAAGUGAGAUGUGAAAUACCCGAGCUUAACUUGGGUGCUGCAUUUCAAACUGGAUAUCUAGAGUGCAGGAGAGGAGAAUGGAAUUCCUAGUGUAGCGGUGAAAUGCGUAGAGAUUAGGAAGAACACCAGUGGCGAAGGCGAUUCUCUGGACUGUAACUGACACUGAGGCAUGAAAGCGUGGGUAGCAAACAGGAUUAGAUACCCUGGUAGUCCACGCCGUAAACGAUGAGUACUAGGUGUAGGAGGUAUCGACUCCUUCUGUGCCGCAGUUAACACAAUAAGUACUCCGCCUGGGAAGUACGAUCGCAAGAUUAAA
rnacentral:rRNA from 1 species